UAGGGAAUCUUGCGCAAUGCACGAAAGUGUGACGCAGCAAUGCCGCGUGGGGGAAGAAGGCCUUCGGGUUGUAAACCCCUUUCAGUUGGGACGAAGCUUCGUCGGUGAAUAGCCGAUCGGAGUGACGGUACCUUCACAAGAAGCCCCGGCUAACUACGUGCCAGCAGCCGCGGUAAUACGUAGGGGGCGAGCGUUGUCCGGAAUCAUUGGGCGUAAAGCGCGUGUAGGCGGCUCGACAAGUCCGCUGUGAAAGUCCGGGGCUCAACCCUGGGAUGCCGGUGGAAACUGUCGAGCUCGAGUCCGGAAGAGGCGAGUGGAAUUCCUGGUGUAGCGGUGAAAUGCGCAGAUAUCAGGAGGAACACCUAUGGCGAAGGCAGCUCGCUGGGACGUGACUGACGCUGAGACGCGAAAGCGUGGGGAGCAAACAGGAUUAGAUACCCCCGUAGUCC
rnacentral:rRNA from 1 species